UACGGAGGGGGCAAGCGUUGUUCGGAAUUAUUGGGCGUAAAGGGCAUGUAGGCGGUUCGGUAAGUUAAAGGUGAAAUGCCAGGGCUUAACCCUGGAGCUGCUUUUAAUACUGCCAGACUCGAGUCCGGAAGAGGAUAGCGGAAUUCCUAGUGUAGAGGUGAAAUUCGUAGAUAUUAGGAGGAACACCAGUGGCGAAGGCGGCUGUCUGGUCCGGUACUGACGCUGAGGUGCGAAAGCG
rnacentral:rRNA from 1 species